rnacentral:rRNA from 1 species
AUGCAGUCGAACGAGGUCGCCUUCGGGCAAUGACCUAGUGGCGAACGGGUGCGUAACACGUGAGGAACCUGCCCCGAAGACUGGGACAACCACGGGAAACUGUGGCUAAUACCAGAUGCCCUCCUCUGAUCGCAUGAUCGGAAGAGGAAAUGCUCCGGCGCUUUGGGAGGGCCUCGCGGCCUAUCAGCUUGUUGGUGGGGUAACGGCUCACCAAGGCAGUGACGGGUAGCUGGUCUGAGAGGACGAUCAGCCACACUGGGACUGAGACACGGCCCAGACUCCUGCGGGAGGCAGCAGUGGGGAAUCUUGCGCAAUGGGCGAAAGCCUGACGCAACAACGCCGCGUGGGGGAUGAAGGCUCUCGGGUUGUAAACCCCUUUCAGCAGGGACGAAAUUGACGGUACCUGAAGAAGAAGCCCCGGCCAACUACGUGCCAGCAGCCGCGGUGACACGUAGGGGGCGAGCGUUGUCCGGAAUUAUUGGGCGUAAAGAGCUCGUAGGCGGUUUAGUAAGUCAGAUGUGAAAGGUUGGGGCUCAACCCUAAGACUGCAUCCGAUACUGCUAUGACUAGAGUCCGGUAGAGGAGUGUGGAAUUCCUGGUGUAGCGGUGAAAUGCGCAGAUAUCAGGAGGAACACCGACGGCGAAGGCAGCACUCUGGGCCGGUACUGACGCUCAGGAGCGAAAGCGUGGGUAGCAAACAGGAUUAGAUACCCUGGUAGUCCACGCCGUAAACGUUGGGCACUAGGUGUGGGGCCUUAUCAACGGGUUCCGUGCCGUAGCUAACGCAUUAAGUGCCCCGCCUGGGGAGUACGGCCGCAAGGCUAAAACUCAAAGGAAUUGACGGGGGCCCGCACAAGCGGCGGAGCAUGUUGCUUAAUUCGAGGCAACGCGA